GGCUACACACGUGCUACAAUGGGUAGAACAGAGAGUUGCAAAGCCGUGAGGUGGAGCUAAUCUCAGAAAACUAUUCUUAGUUCGGAUUGUACUCUGCAACUCGAGUACAUGAAGUUGGAAUCGCUAGUAAUCGCGAAUCAGCAAUGUCGCNGGUGAAUACGUUCUCGGGUCUUGUACACACCGCCCGUCACACCACGAGAGUUGGUUGCACCUGAAGUAGCAGGCCUAACCGUAAGGAGGGAUGCUCCGAGGGUGUGAUUAGCGAUUGGGGUGAAGUCGUAACAAGGUAUCCGUACGGGAACGU
rnacentral:rRNA from 1 species